UACGUGGGGUCCAAGCGUUAUCCGGAAUUACUGGGCGUAAAGAGUUGCGUAGGCGGCAUAGUAAGCAGAUAGUGAAAGCACCCCGCUCAACGGGGUAAACAUUAUCCGAACUGCUAAGCUAGAGCACGAGAGAGGUAGCUGGAAUUCCCGGUGUAGGAGUGAAAUCCGUAGAUAUCGGGAGGAACACCGAUGGCGUAGGCAGGCUACUGGCUCGUUGCUGACGCUCAUGCACGAAAGCGUGGGGAGCGAACGGG
rnacentral:rRNA from 1 species